GUUGAACGCUGGCGGCAUGUCUUACACAUGCAAGUCGAACGGUAACAGGUCUUCGGAUGCUGACGAGUGGCGAACGGGUGAGUAAUACAUCGGAACGUGCCUAGUAGUGGGGGAUAACUACUCGAAAGAGUGGCUAAUACCGCAUGAGAUCUACGGAUGAAAGCAGGGGAUCGCAAGACCUUGUGCUACUAGAGCGGCCGAUGGCAGAUUAGGUAGUUGGUGGGAUAAAAGCUUACCAAGCCGACGAUCUGUAGCUGGUCUGAGAGGACGAUCAGCCACACUGGGACUGAGACACGGCCCAGACUCCUACGGGAGGCAGCAGUGGGGAAUUUUGGACAAUGGGCGCAAGCCUGAUCCAGCAAUGCCGCGUGCAGGAUGAAGGCCUUCGGGUUGUAAACUGCUUUUGUACGGAACGAAAAGCCCCGGGUUAAUACCCUGGGGUCAUGACGGUACCGUAAGAAUAAGCACCGGCUAACUACGUGCCAGCCGCCGCAGUAA
rnacentral:rRNA from 1 species